rnacentral:rRNA from 1 species
CAGUCGCCGCGGUAAUACGGAGGGUGCAAGCGUUAUCCGGAUUUAUUGGGUUUAAAGGGUCCGUAGGCGGACUUAUAAGUCAGUGGUGAAAGCCUGUCGCUUAACGAUAGAACUGCCAUUGAUACUGUAAGUCUUGAGUAUAUUUGAGGUAGCUGGAAUAAGUAGUGUAGCGGUGAAAUGCAUAGAUAUUACUUAGAACACCAAUUGCGAAGGCAGGUUACCAAGAUAUAACUGACGCUGAGGGACGAAAGCGUGGGUAGCGAACAGGAUUAGAGACCCGCGUAGUCCCUGUCUCUUAUAA